rnacentral:rRNA from 1 species
GCUAGCGGUCAAAGUGCCGGGGCAAGACCCGUACCCUUUCCGAACACGGAAGUGAAUCCCGGCAACGUUUCGCUUUGUACUGCCGAACAGGCGGGAAGAGCGGAAAGCUGCUAGCA